rnacentral:misc_RNA from 1 species
GAUGAAGAACGCAAGUGAAAUGCGAUAAGUAAUGUGAAUUGCAGAAUUCAGUGAAUCAUCGAAUCUUUGAACGCACAUUGCGCCCGCCAGUAUUCUGGCGGGCAUGCCUGUUCGAGCGUCAUUACAACCCUCAGGCCCCCGGGCCUGGCGUUGGGGAUCGGCGGAAGCCCCCUGCGGGCACAACGCCGUCCCCCAAAUACAGUGGCGGUCCCGCCGCAGCUUCCAUUGCGUAGUAGCUAACACCUCGCAACUGGAGAGCGGCGCGGCCACGCCGUAAAACACCCAACUUCUGAAUGUUGACCUCGAAUCAGGUAGGAAUACCCGCUGAACUUAAGCAUAUCAAUAAGCGGAGGA